CUACGGGAGGCUGCAGUGAGGAAUAUUGCACAAUGGGGGGAACCCUGAUGCAGCAACGCCGCGUGGAGGAUGACGCAUUUCGGUGUGUGAACUCCUUUUAUAUGUCAAGAAAAUGACGGUAGCAUAUGAAUAAGCACCGGCUAACUCCGUGCCAGCAGCCGCGGUAAUACGGAGGGUGCAAGCGUUACUCGGAAUCACUGGGCGUAAAGGACGCGUAGGCGGGUUGGAAAGUCAGGUGUGAAAUCCUACAGCUUAACUGUAGAACUGCACUUGAAACUUCUAAUCUAGAGUAUGGGAGGGGGGGAUGGAAUUAGUGGUGUAGGGGUAAAAUCCGUAGAUAUCACUAGGAAUACCUAAAGCGAAGGCGAUCUCCUGGAACAUUACUGACGCUAAGGCGUGAAAGCGUGGGGAGCAAACAGGAUUAGAUACCCCCGUAGUC
rnacentral:rRNA from 1 species